rfam:Oryza glumipatula chromosome 11, whole genome shotgun sequence.
GAUUUCAACUGAAAAAGUCAUCAACAACAAAGUUGUAUAACUCAUCAAUAUCUAUAACUUUUAUUUUGGUCAUUUCUUUAUCGGACAAAGUGAUAGUAACAUUGUUCAUAAAAUUUAUAUAUCUCACUUAUAGGUUAUAAUACCAUAUAAGAGUUAUGUAAAUUUUGUGAACAAUGUUACUAUCACUUUGUCGGAUGAAGAAAUGACCAAAAUAAAAGUUAUAGAUAUUGAUGAGUUAUACAACUUUGUUGUUGACUACUUUUUCAGUUGAAAUC